UUAUUGGGUUUAAGGGUCCGUAGGCGGACCGAUAAGUCAGUGGUGAAAUCUCAUAGCUUAACUAUGAAACUGCCGUUGAUACUGUCGGUCUUGAGUAAAUUUGAAGUGGCUGGAAUAAGUAGUGUAGCGGUGAAAUGCAUAGAUAUUACUUAGAACACCAAUUGCGAAGGCAGGUCACUAAGAUUUAACUGACGCUGAGGGACGAAAGCGUGGGGAGCGAACAGGAUUAGAUACCCUGGUAGUCCACGCCGUAAACGAUGCUAACUCGUUUUUGGGGCGCAAGCUUCAGAGACCAAGCGAAAGUGAUAAGUUAGCCACCUGGGGAGUACGUCCGCAAGGAUGAAACUCAAAGGAAUUGACGGGGGCCCGCACAAGCGGUGGAUUAUGUGGUUUAAUUCGAUGAUACGCGAGGAACCUUACCAAGACUUAAAUGGGAAAUGACAGGUUUAGAAAUAGACCCUUCUUCGGACAUUUUCCAAGGUGCUGCAUGGUUGUCGUCAGCUCGUGCCGUGAGGUGUUAGGUUAAGUCCUGCAACGAGCGCAACCCCUGUCACUAGUUGCUAACAUUCAGUUGAGGACUCUAGUGAGACUGCCUACGCAAGUAGAGAGGAAGGUGGGGAUGACGUCAAAUCAUCACGGCCCUUACGUCUUGGGCCACACACGUAAUACAAUGGCCGGUACAGAGGGCAGCUACCUAGCGAUAGGAUGCAAAUCUCGAAAGCCGGUCUCAGUUCGGAUUGGAGUCUGCAACUCGACUCUAUGAAGCUGGAAUCGCUAGUAAUCGCGCAUCAGCCAUGGCGCGGUGAAUACGUUCCCGGGCCUUGUACACACCGCCCGUCAAGCCAUGGAAGUCUGGGGUACCUGAAGUCGGUGACCGUAAAAGGAGCUGCCUAGGGUAAAACAGGUAACUAGGGCGAA
rnacentral:rRNA from 2 species